ACACACACACACACACACACACACACACACACACACACACACACACACACACACACACACAGCCAGCCUCAUACAGUGUAAGUGAGCUACUCCCGAGCCCAGAUAGGAUUUAGUUAUUAAAAGUGAGUAGUACUACUGUUUGAGUAAAAGUUAGACAGUGUUACUGUGACUACUGACUAAGGCUUCUCAUACUGAACUUGAAGGAUCACUCACACAGAGGACAAAACAGAAAAAACGUCUGAUAAAACUGCAGUUCCUCACAAUAAAAUGACAGCUCUUAAGAUUGUUCAAAUAGAAUGAAGACCAGCUCUAUAAACGACAUUAAAACAAAUAGUUUUGAGCUGAUUGGAACUCUGGGUCCAAUUCAUGAAGGCAGGUCUUUGAAGGCGUUAGAAAAGUCCCCUUUAUCAAAAUGUUCUCUGGGCUGGCUCAGUCCAGUCCAACCUGCGUUGAGUAAUAUGUGUAUUCAAGCUUCAGGCAGAUAGCUGUGAGGGAAGGUUCUCUUUUCUUUCUCCCCAGCAAACAUGAACCCAUUGGCCCCAUGUGGGUAUUUGGUGGGCAAGUUGGGCUAGCCUAAGCCAGCCCAACACAGGCUAGCCCACACCAAUCCCACAUCAGCCCAACAUCAGAUAUCCUACAUCAGCACCCAGCCCAACAAAGGCUACCCCACACCAACCCAACACAGGCUAGCCCACACCAACCCAACACAGGCUAGCCCACACCAACCCAACACAGGCUAGCCCAUACCAACCCAACACAGGCUAGCCCAUACCAACCCAACACAGGCUAGCCCAUACCAACCCAACACAGGCUAGCCCACACCAACCCAACACAGGCUAGCCCACACCAACCCAACACAGGCUAGCCCACACCAACCCAACACAGGCUAGCCCACACCAACCCAACACAGGCUAGCCCAUACCAACCCAACACAGGCUAGCCCACACCAACCCAACACAGGCUAGCCCAUACCAACCCAACACAGGCUAGCCCACACCAACCCAACACAGGCUAGCCCACACCAACCCAACACAGGCUAGCCCAUACCAACGAAACACAGAAUAGCCCACACCAGCCCAACACAGGCUAGCCCAUACCAACUAAACACAGAAUAGCCCACACCAGCCCAACACAGGCUAGCCCAUACCAACUAAACACAGAAUAGCCCACACCAGCCCAACACAGGCUAGCCUAUACCAACUAAACACAGGCUAGCCCACACCAACCCAACACAGGCUAGCCCACACCAACCCAACACAGGCUAGCCUAUACCAACUAAACACAGAAUAGCCCACAUCAGCCCAACACAGGCUAGCCUAUACCAACUAAACACAGGCUAGCCCACACCAGCCCAACACGGGCUAGCCCAUACCAACUAAACACAGAAUAGCCCACACCAGCCCAACACAGGCUAGCCUAUACCAACUAAACACAGGCUAGCCCACACCAACCCAACACAGGCUAGCCCACACCAACCCAACACAGGCUAGCCCACACCAACCCAACACGGGCUAGCCCACACCAGCCCAACACGGGCUAGCCCAUACCAACAAAACACAGGCUAGCCCACACCAGCCCAACACGGGCUAGCCCAUACCAACUAAACACAGGCUAGCCCACACCAACCCAACACAGGCUAGCCCACACCAACCCAACACAGGCUAGCCCACACCAGCCCAACACGGGCUAGCCCACACCAGCCCAACACGGGCUAGCCCAUACCAACAAAACACAGAAUAGCCCACACCAGCCCAACACGGGCUAGCCCACACCAGCCCAACACGGGCUAGCCCAUACCAACAAAACACAGAAUAGCCCACACCAGCCCAACACGGGCUAGCCCACACCAGCCCAACACAGGCUAGCCCAUACCAACUAAACACAGAAUAGCCCACACCAGCCCAACACAGGCUAGCCCAUACCAACUAAACACAGAAUAGCCCACACCAAAGGCGCAUCGGCCCAAUGUGGGCAGCCUAGAUGGGGCCAAUAUUUUAGCCCAAAUUGGGCCCACACCGAGACAAUGUGGACAUGUUUGCUGGGGCUAAAACCUACAAUUUCUAGUUCCUUGUAAUUUUAUCGCUCUCUCCACGGUGCCGUGAGAAAACAAUAUAGUCCAAAUCUCCUUAAUGUUGUUUGAAUCUAAUGUCUCACAUUGGGCAUAUUAAGCAGAUUGCCUGCGUUAAACUACUGCUGUCAGAGCAGCAUGACAGACAUUACCAGCACUUAAGGCACUUUGUUUGUGUAUGUGUGUGUGUAUGUGUGUGUGUGUGUGUGUCUCUGUUUAUCUGCAUGUGUGUGUUUGUUUGUAGGUGUGUAUGUGUGUUCGAACACCCCAAAUCUGAUUUUGCCCAUUCAUCCAAGUCUGUAAUCGUGCCCCAGACAGUUUGGUCCAUUUAAAAUGUAAAAAUAAAGUAAUAAAGGCUCAAUAAAGUAAUCAUAUCAUGCUGCUGCUCUAUAACUGUGCUGUCACCUCUACUGUGAUCAUAAGAGACAAGACCUGAGAGAGAAUGACAACAUCAAUGCUUGGCUAACAACUAUCACUGUAAUAAACAUGUGUAUGGAUCUGAAAGGCCUUGGUAG
ensembl:lncRNA